GCUGGACCUUUAACCAAAGUCAACGCAGGAAGCCUUAGGAAGAGCAGCCCCAGAGAGGAUGGGCAGCUUCCCACUCAGCGGGGCUGGUGCAGCCUAGAACUGGAAGGGUGGAUGGCCAAGAGAGGAGCUUAGCCUCUGGGGGUGGGCCCAGCACUGUAAUAGACACCGGGGAAGGCAGGGUAAGAGACGCAUCUUGAUGUUCCCGUCGGGGAGGCUUAGAUGACCAUACUGCAAGGCGAUGUUGGUUGGAAGAGGAAGCAAGCCCAGCCGGGGGCCGUAGGGAUUGUUUGCAAGAUGGAUUUGGGAGAAUCAAAGGAAAAGUCUGCUGAAGGAUGGAGGAGUCUGAGUAGCAUCAGCCCCUGAAUUAAAAGGGAUGUUUUGUUGAAGUUCAGAUCUCAAGAAGAGGCAAGAGAAGAAUAAAGAAAGAGCUGGGAGAUGUCACUCUUGAGCCAUUUAGACAGUGAGACGCCAUGGGAAUAAAUACCAUUAUAACACUUUCAGGUCGUAUUGCAAUUCUCCCUGCACCUAAAAAAAAAAAAAAAAAUCCUGUCUCUCUUUGCAAUGUUAAAAUCCUCCAAAGCAUUCUGUUUGUUUUAGAGGUAAGAAGGUGGUGGAGAAGCUUUGAGCCUCCAUUGCACUGAAGCAUGGGCCACAGAGAAAAGGAAACUUGAGCUGAAGAAUGGACAGUAGCAGACCCAGAGAAGGAAGUCAGAUUGCUUUUGGUGCUGAUGGGAGAGACAAAGGGGGUGAAAUGGGAAUUCUCUUGGGGUUAUACAUUACAUCCAAGGGCGUAUUAAGGUACAAGCUUGACCACACCUUCCUCAUCCCCAUUCUUAACU